rnacentral:rRNA from 1 species
UGUGGGGGCGGGGCCUAAUUCUGCAAGUUCGAGCGAAUCAUUUCGGUGGUUAGCGGCGGACGGGUGAGUAACACGUGGGCAACCUGCCUGUAAGACUGGGAUAACACCGGGAAACCGGUGCUAAUACCGGAUAAUCCUUUUCCUCUCAUGAGGAAAAGCUGAAAGACGGUUUCGGCUGUCACUUACAGAUGGGCCCGCGGCGCAUUAGCUAGUUGGUGAGGUAACGGCUCACCAAGGCGACGAUGCGUAGCCGACCUGAGAGGGUGAUCGGCCACACUGGGACUGAGACACGGCCCAGACUCCUACGGGAGGCAGCAGUAGGGAAUCUUCCACAAUGGACGAAAGUCUGAUGGAGCAACGCCGCGUGAGCGAUGAAGGCCUUCGGGUCGUAAAGCUCUGUUGUUAGGGAAGAACAAGUACUGGAGUAACUGCCGGUACCUUGACGGUACCUAACCAGAAAGCCACGGCUAACUACGUGCCAGCAGCCGCGGUAAUACGUAGGUGGCAAGCGUUGUCCGGAAUUAUUGGGCGUAAAGCGCGCGCAGGCGGUCCUUUAAGUCUGAUGUGAAAGCCCACGGCUCAACCGUGGAGGGUCAUUGGAAACUGGGGGACUUGAGUGCAGAAGAGGAAAGCGGAAUUCCACGUGUAGCGGUGAAAUGCGUAGAGAUGUGGAGGAACACCAGUGGCGAAGGCGGCUUUCUGGUCUGUAACUGACGCUGAGGCGCGAAAGCGUGGGGAGCAAACAGGAUUAGAUACCCUGGUAGUCCACGCCGUAACGAUGAGUGCUAAGUGUAGGGGGUUUCCGCCCCCUUAGUGCUGCAGCUAACGCAUUAAGC